GGCCAGUUAGCUCAGUGGUUUGAGCGCGGUGCUGACAACAACGACGUACGCCGAAGUUGCGGGUUCGAUUCCUGCUCGGUCCC
rnacentral:tRNA from 1 species